UACGUAGGGGGCAAGCGUUGUCCGGAUUUAUUGGCGUAAAGAGCGUGUAGGCGGCUAGGUAGGUCCGUUGUGAAAACUCGAGGCUCAACCUCGAGACGCCGAUGGAAACCAUCUGGCUAGAGUCCGGAAGAGGAGAGUGGAAUUCCUGGUGUAGCGGUGAAAUGCGCAGAUAUCAGGAAGAACACCCGUGGCUAAGGCGGCUCUCUAGUACGGUACUGACGCUGAGACGCGAAAGCGUGGGGAGCGAACAGG
rnacentral:rRNA from 1 species